rnacentral:rRNA from 1 species
AUUGAACGCUUGCGGCAGGCCUAACACAUGCAAGUCGGACGGUAGCACAGAGGAGCUUGCUCCUCGGGUGACGAGUGGCGGACGGGUGAGUAAUGUCUGGGGAUCUGCCCGAUAGAGGGGGAUAACCACUGGAAACGGCGGCUAAUACCGCAUAACGUCGCAAGACCAAAGAGGGGGACCUUCGGGCCUCUCACUAUCGGAUGAACCCGGAUGGGAUUAGCUAGUAGGCGUGGUAACGGCCCACCUAGGCGACGAUCCCUAGCUGGUCUGAGAGGAUGACCAGCCACACUGGAACUGAGACACGGUCCAGACUCCUACGGGAGGCAGCAGUGGGGAAUAUUGCACAAUGGGCGCAAGCCUGAUGCAGCCAUGCCGCGUGUAUGAAGAAGGCCUUCGGGUUGUAAAGUACUUUCAGCGGGGAGGAAGGCGAUAAGGUUAAUAGCCUUGUCGGUUGACGUUACCCGCAGAAGAAGCACCGGCUAACUCCGUGCCAGCCGCCGCGGUAA